rnacentral:lncRNA from 1 species
AAAUCAUGUAAUCUUUUAAUACAUAGAAGAUUAGCAUAAUCAUCUUUUCUCUUUUAUAUGUCUUUUUCUUUCUUAUUGGAGAUUUAAGCAGCUGGUAUCCCAGUUUCUGACCAUAGAGUUCGGACCGAGUCUCAUCAUGGAUUGGGGACUGUCUAUUUUAAAAUUAUGCUGUUGCUAUAAGCCAUCUAUACUCAUGGUACCAAAGGGCAGUCAUAUGAAGAAUGAUGUUGAAUUGGCAGAGCUUAAAAAUCUAAAAAUUCUGGAAGUUGGCAAUCCAGAAUUAAAUACAAAUAUUCCAAACAGUAACACCACAUGCUUCCAUCCUUGUCUGUUUUGCUCUAUUUGGCAGUCAGUUGGAUGCAAUUAUUGCAAAAUCAUUGAUGGCAGCUGUCAUAAGUACAGAUUUUCA